CGUUGUUUUUCCUUUCCCUUUUUUUUUCCGUUGUUUCAUCUCGUUUGUUGCAAGCAGAUCUGUUUAUGUAACUUUUCCAACAAGAACGUAAAACGGAAAGACCGUGUGACGGAGGAGGAAAAGAAGAAGCAGAGGAGCGAGCACCAGAAGUGGACUUGCAAUCAAGAAUAGAUGAAAUUUCCGUUCUCUCCGUUCUUGCUUUCGGUUUCUUUUUUCUGAAGAUAUGCGGUCACACUAUAGAUAAUAAAAAAAA
rnacentral:ribozyme from 1 species